UGAAGUUUGAGAACCCCUGGCUUAAGUUGAUCUAACUUACAUCACUCAGGGGUGUAAAAAAGCCCUCUCGCCCCCAUGCAAUGCAAGUUUUGCACUGCCACACCAGCGCUAUGUCAGUGGGAGAUGCUCUCCUGCCGACAUAGCUUCUUGCCGAGGUGCAGUAUGUGAUGUGAGAGCACUCUUCUGUCAGCAUAGCGCAUCUUCACCAGACGCUCUACAGCAUCAGUGCAGCUGCGCUGAUGUAGCACUGUAGUGUAGACUUGCCCUUAGUUAUGUCAGUAGCACACAGGAGAUAAUGCAUGGAGACUACUUGCAUAAAUGAAGACUAAUCAUCUGAGUAAAUGUUUGAAGUUCAGACUUCUAGUUUAUUUAGCUUUUUAAAAAACAGUCUUUUCCCACAAAACAACUGAAUAGCAAUCCAUUUUUACAUGUUUAUUUAUUAUUACUACUGCUGGGACACUAAAAGAUUUUUACACAUUUAUUUCACUUUAUUUAAAAUGCACCAGUGUGUCAACACUUCAUUCUUUAGGUUUUAAGGACUUUGUGUGAAACCACAACACUUUGCACUUGGUACUUUGCACAAGUGUAAGAUGAUUGCAAAAGGUGUAAGGCUAUGGAGAAUCAGAUCCCACCUGCUUCCAGCCACCUCACAGGAGACUUUUAGCAUGGUACAACACAAGGAGAAAAGUGGCUUCUGUGGUACUUUUAAAACACACGAUUUCAGAGCUAGGCACCUGCUUAGGUGAUUUUGAAAAUCCCAUUAGGAGUCUAUCUGAAUCCUUAGCUGCCGAAAUACCUUUGGAAAUCUGGCCCACAGAAUAAAGUGAUGGGAGAUGGUGCAUGAAUGAAAGCAUUUUAAAUGCAUUAAAAUAAACUUGUAAAAAAAUCUUAUGCAUUGUCCCAUUUGUAGCCUUCAUAAACUGGCAAUCAAUCAGCUGCAUGUAACAGACUCUUUUCCUAACUUACCAUUUUUUAGAUCAUAUGGGUACAGUGAAAACGUGAGAGAUUUGCAGGAAGAUUGUAACCAUGUAAUUGUAAUUGCACACAAACACAACCUUUACUUUAUGUUUUGAAAUUGUAAAUGGGCCCUCUGAAAGCUUUAACACAUGCUUUGGAAAUCAGCCUUCAGGUAGGUGGCAAGGAGACACAUAAUGAUGGAGCGCUUUUACUGAAUUCUCAAGAAUAUGUUUCAUGGGCUACAUCUUCCACUAUAAUUAAGCUACUUUGAGCAGCUCUGGUGGCAUGAAGAAGCUGGAAAUGUGGCAAAUCUGCCCAGCUCACAGUUUCGCUAGGUGAGUAGUACUGAGGUAGGGAGAGUGACUGGAGAAAAGGGGGCGGUGGUGGCUCCAUUGUUCCUGUGCUAUAGUGAUUCCCAAUUCCUGGAAUGGAUCCUUGUGUGAUCCAUCACCUGCUCUUGUGGCUGUUCGUUGGAUUUGGUCCUGUUUGUGAAAAUAAUAGAAUAAGUCCUGCUCUUAUUAAAAUCAGUGAGCAAUUUGCUAAUGACUUCUGUGGAAGGAGGCACUAUUAAGCCCUUCAUGUUGGAGAGUUCAAUCCUGUGAGGUGUUGCCAACCCCAAACAUUCAAAAAUUAUGAGUCAGGUCCAAAAAAUCAGGAUAUGGCCUUAAAAUUAUGAGAUUUGUAAAAAUCAGAAUUGUGGGUUCUUUUUAUUUUCUUUCUGGUGUCUGAGGCUUUAGGUUUCAUGUUUUCAAGCUUUUUCCCCCCUGCAGCAACAAAGGCUACUUUUUAGAAUGAAAGCUGAGAUUAGCACAUCAUCCCAUGACUCCAGGACCUGGGAUUUUACAAAAACAAAACAAACAAACAAAAGAGAGCCAAAUUUCCGAGACACAUGAUAAAACUAUGAGUAUUGCAGCACUGGAGGGUCCUCCUUUCCUUCCUAAGGGGUAGUUGAGGAUGCUCAGAACUAUGUAGGAAGCUACUGGUACCUUGCAGUAUCAGGCCUAUUGUCUAGACACAUUCCAAAUUAUGUGCGAUGACAGCUAGAAUCUGCCCAUCAGUUUGGUUUGCAUUUAUGUUACAAUUAUAUGAACCAGGUGCAAUAGACAUGCCUUAGGGCCAUGUUACUAAGACAUUCUUAAGUAAACCAAAUGUUUCAGAUUAAUUUUACUGUAGGUGUGCAAGAGUUAUUUGGUUGAGAUCAAUGCAAAUUUUUCAGUGAAGUUGGCCUUAUUAGUUCUGGCAGCUGAAUUUCAGCCUUGUUUCCAAAGUUUCAAUCAGACAUUUUGUUUGCUGCAGAAAUUUCAAGCAUUAGAUGGCACAAAGAAAACAAUAAAUACCAUUAGCUCUUGACUUCAAUGAGAGUUCUGCCCAAAAAGUACUCCUGUGAUCAUCUUCAAUAAUGCAAGCGUGGGAGAGUUAGGCUGGCCAUGUCUGGGUGGGGAGCACAGAAGGAGAGCCAGCUUCCAUGGCAUGCUGCCUCCUUCCCUGGGGAAGACCCUCAGAGCUGAGAUUUUGUAGGUCGGGUGAUAGUGUGUGGCACAGGAGAGGAUAGAGUCAGUCAGCAUUCCACAGCAUGUUGUCCUGCAGACCACACAGAUACCACCAAUGGGAGUUAAUUCUGUCCCAAGCAGCACUAACUGCUAUGGCAUCUGUCCUAAGGUUUGUGUUAAGGAGCUGCAUGGGAAGCAGCCAAUGGUGCCAUUGCUCCUGGGACGGCUGAGCCAAAGCCCAUUGAAAUCAAUGGGGUCAGCAUGAAGGUUUGGAGGCCCAUGCCUUUUGCCUCUUCUACAACCCCUAAACCCUUCCCCUCUGAGGAGAGUAUUAGAAGGAAACUCCAUAAGUGUCCCAUCAUGGGGUUGCAUGGCCCUCUCCUAUAGGUUUUCUAUGGGAGAUUGCAAUUUAGGACUGAACAAGGAUUAUAAGGUAUGAAUAGAAAAUAAAGCAGUGCACGAAGAAGAUGUAGGUAUGUACUAGAAAUCUGGCAGGUAUCACCUGCCAGUUUUAUAUGUUCUGUGCCUAGGGUUUAUUAUUUAUUCCCCUCAUGGAAUGGCAUUCUCAUAUUUCUUAGCAUGAUAGUCUGCAGGGUCCAUGUUGUGCAGUUAGGAGAGGAGAAUUAAUAUUUAUACCCUUGUACAAUUAUUGCUGGCAGACAAAAUGCCAGAUGCCAGCUACAAUUUAUUUUUAAUGGAAUUUAUACAUAUUUAUAUAUUUGUAAGUGGUAAAUGCCCCCAUUUUAAAGCUGGCACAUUUUUGCAGUGUCCAGAAAAUUUGCAGCUUUAUAUCAGGACUUCGCAACUUGUGACUGUUUAAUAACAUUUAGUUACAAAUCCAUGUUCCAAUUUUUUGUCCAGGGCAUCAAGGCAUAGAUCCUCAAAGGUAUUUAGUUGUCCAACUAGUUACACACUUAAAUACCUUUAAGGAUCUGGACUCCAAUGUUUACUUAACACAGUGAAUAGAGCCAAAUAUGUACAAUAAGUGUAAAUAUAUAUAAACAAUGCUGUACACUAAGGUGGAAUUUUCAGACAUGCAGCCUUCACUCAACUCUGCUGUCACUAAAGUCAGACUCCCAUUGAUUUUACUGGGAGCAGAGUUAGGCCAAUGCUCAAUCCUUUUGAAAAUCCCACACCAGGAAUACAAAAUAAAAGAGCUCCCCUCAAACACUUACCAACAAUAUUGAGUUUUUACUUCACAUAUUUUUUCCAGUUAGACUUUUGUGAAGGUUAUUUACCUUGCUGUUGAUCAAAGUAGGGGGAACUGUUCACUAAAUCAUAUAUUUGACUCUCACACGUGUGAUAGUCUCAAAUUUAAGAAAUACAGUGGCUAAAUGUAAAAUGUGUUAAUGCCUAACAUGAAGAUCUAUUCUACAACCCCCCCCCCCCCCCCAGUUCCUCCUCUAUCUUUAGUGAGGUAAAAAUAACCACCCAGAAAAUAUUCAUUAUAAACCAAUGAAAAUACAUUAUAAACUAAUGAAAAAUAAUUAAUAUAGUUGGUAUGGGAAAUAGAUUGUUUCCCUCAAUGACUAGAUUAGUGUAAUAAUGGCUUCUGUUCCAAGUGAAGUGCUCUAGUCCAAACAUAACUUAAAUCCUGGCACAAGCUGAGUUGUUUUUGAAGAUGAAUAUGUUUCUUUCAGUCAUGAAUUUUUUAAAAAUAUUCAGUAUUUAUUACUCUUUAGAAAAAUUUUUGAUUGAGAAUUGCACAGACUGGUCUCUCUGUAAAGAUGAGUGGUGUGUGGAAACACUGUGGUUGUUUAUUGUCCCUGGAACUUUUGUGAGUCCAAAAUGAAAUCUAUCAUGAAAUGUUCUACUAUGUCCCAAGUAUUUAUUAGUCCACUACUAGUGGCCACUUUGAUUUUAGAGCUGAAUUGAAAUCCAGGAAAUCUUAGGAAAUCCUUCAGCCAUGGAAUUUAGUCACCUAGCCCAUUUUUGAUUUUCCAACUUGUGCAGGAAAUAAUGAAAUUACCACUACUUUUAUCAAAUCUAAGGACUUGUGUACAUGGCACAACAAAGCAUGCUAGAGAGAAAUAGUGAAUAGUGGAGUGCUGUAACAUGUGGUGCUCUAACUGCCCCAUGUAGACUCUUCUGCCAUGAACUAAAAGGUAGCCGAUUAACUAGGUACCUUUCAGUGUGUGCCAGCAUGGCCUAUAUGGGGUAGUAAGAGCACAGAAGAUUAGACCACUCUACAAAUCACAUCCCUCUGGAGAACUGGGCCACACAUACAAACAAACUUCAAAUGUAGGCAGUGACCCUGAUUCUGAUCCCCUUUAUCCAGGUUUUCCACUCACUAGUUUAACUCAUUUUUUACUUCAUUGAAGUCAUUCCUGAUUUAGAGCAGAAACAGAGAGAUCAGAAUCAGGUCCAGUGUGAACCAGGGCCAAAUUCUACAGGGCUUACUUCACUGAGCAGGCUGACUGAUGUCAAUGAACUACUCAUCUCAGCAGAGUAGGUGGAAUUUGACCCCAGUUAUUUUAGAUUACAACAUGCUAGGGAAAUAAAAUGACACUAGGGCCAAAUAUUAUGUUAUGAGUUGGCCUCAGUUACACUGGAGUAGCUCCAUUUGCUCCAACAGAGUUAUUGUUGAUUUAUAAGAAUCCAUGUGAGAACAGAAGCAAACCCCAUUAAUAAGAUUUUGCCAAAUACCGUUUCCAUAACACAAAUAAUUGUUGCUAUAUGUUCUGAUUCUGGGCCAGAUAAUAUCCUGGUCUGUGUGCUGAGAUUUUCCUCUCUCGCGUGCAAAAGGAUGGAGUUGGUGGGUUAGCCAACUCCACAGUAACAUCCUAUUCUUUUCUUGGACACUAUGGCGAGCACUCUGAGGGUUGGCAUUCAUGCAGGAUGAAGGGCACUGAUUGGGUGUGCUAUCAGGAGUGGCUGGGGAGUGGGCAACCCCAUGUUGGAUCACUGCACAUCAACCCAGCCUCCCUCUGAUCUCACAGAUUACUUGAGAAAAGCAAUACCUUGUAUUAGCUUUCUUGUAGAAUUUCCCCCUUUAAGGGGAGGUCAGAAGUAGCUGUGGCCAGGGAUGCUCCUUGCAGCCAUGCCACUAGGGAGUGUGGAUGAGGAACUGGAGCUAUAGAGACAGUGGAGGCAGCACUACUGUAGAUGCUAGGGGAAUCCUUAGGUUUGUGGGCAGGCCCACAGCUCAGUUAAUUCUGUGUCUAGGCAAACAAUACUGGCAAAACUCAGAAAACUCUCCUUGAGUUUUCUUCCAAUUUAGCUCACUUCCAUGGGCUUUACCAUUGGAAAGGGCUGUCCAGGCUCCUGAGAUAGGCUGAACCUACAACUCCUGCUGAAGUCAAUGGAUGAAAUUGUGCUCUGAUUACAUCGGUGUAAAUCCUACUUACUCCAUUAAAUUAAAUGGUGCUAUGCCAGGUUUACAUUGGUGGAAUUCAGCUCAAAGAGUAUGGCCCAGUGAGAAUUGAUCAACCCCUCUCAGGGGUUCAUAGCUUUGUGGAUUUUAUGAUAGCAGAUGGAGUUGUGUGAACAUUAUUUGUUUUCAUUUUCAUUAGUAUGGCAGAUGAAAAUAAUGAACUUUUGGGCAAUACUGCACUUCUAAUUAUAAUUGGUUACUGGGAAAUGUGCCUUUAUUAUGAAAUAGCAUAAUUCUGCUUGUGUAGCAAACCCUUAGAGCAUUUAACUUAAUUACUAAGGAUUUGAGCCUGUUCCCAUUGAAAACAGAGGACAAACUCCCUUUGACUGCAACAGAGUCAAAGCCUAUCAUAUUUGGUUGACAUUUUGUUUGUGUAAAUACAGCGCUUUCAAGCAUGACUUUUAUAAUUUAACUAAGUUUGCUAUACAAACACAAAUUCUUGUUCCAUUUCUUUGAAAGGUGACUGCUACAUCAUAACUUUGGUUCAAAGGGUUGAGAUUUAAAAAAAAGUUUUCUAAAAUGUUUAUGGUACUUAAUGAUUUUAAAAUACUGUAAUGCUGUAAGACUGUUGGCAAUAACAACUCUUGUGAAAGCUCUUUUCCUUAGGUGGUUUGUUUUGUAGUCUGGAACAAAAAUAAAGGCUCCAGUUCAUGAAA